ACACGACUACAUUAGAUACCCCCUGUAGUCCUAGCCGUAAACGAUACUCGCUAGGUGUCGGCCACGGUGCGACCGUUGUCGGUGCCGUAGGGAAGCCGUGAAGCGAGCCACCUGGGAAGUACGGCCGCAAGGCUGAAACUUAAAGGAAUUGGCGGGGAGCACCACAACGGGUGGAGCUUGCGGUUUAAUUGGAUUCAACGCCGGAAAUCUUACCGGGACCGACAGCAACAUGAAGGCCAGGCUGAAGACUUUGCCGGAUUAGCUG
rnacentral:rRNA from 1 species